rnacentral:rRNA from 1 species
GACGACGCUGGCGGCGUGGAUUAGGCAUGCAAGUCGAACGGUAUCAUCCUUUCGGGGGUGAGAGAGUGGCGAACGGGUGAGUAACACGUAGGUGAUCUACCCUCAAGAUUGGGACAACCCAGGGAAACUUGGGCUAAUACCGGAUGAAAGCAGCAGUGAUGUUGUUUGAAAGGUGGCGUAAGCUGCCGUUUGGGGAUGAGCCUGCGCUCUAUUAGUUAGUUGGCGGGGUAAAGGCCCACCAAGGCGAUGAUAGAUAGGCGGCCUUAACGGGUGGUCGCCCACACUGGGAUUGAGAUACGGCCCAGACUCCUACGGGAGGCAGCAGUCGAGAAUAGUCUACAAUGGCCGAAAGGCUGAUAGUGCGACGCCGCGUGAACGAAGAAGCCCUUCGGGGUGUAAAGUUCUUUUAUAUGUGAGCAGUGCUUUCUAUGUGAACAGCAUGGGGAGAGAGAUAUUAGCAUAUGAAUAAGCAACGGCUAACUCCGUG